rnacentral:rRNA from 1 species
AGUUAUGUUCUUAAAACCUAAAGAAUUUGGCGGUGUUUUAUUCUGUUCAGAGGAACUUGCCCCGUUAUCGAUAGUCCUCGUUUUAUCUUACUUAAUUUUGUGUUCUAUUCAGUAUGUAUACCGCCGUUAUAAGCUUAUUUUUUGAGAAUAUAAUUUGCUAAUAUUUUUAUUAAAAUUUAUUUCAGGUCAAGGUGCAGCUAAUGUUUAAGUGGAGGUGAGUUACAAUAUUUUUGAAUAAAUGGAAUAUUUUGUUUAAAGUUUUUAUGAAGGUGGAUUUGACAGUAAUUUUAUUUAUAAUAUUAUUUUGAUUUUGGAACUAAAACAAGUACACAUCGCCCGUCGCUCUA